CCUUGAGCACCGAUCCCCUGCACUGGUCCCAGUCCUUGGAGAUUGCAGAGGCAUCUGUUCCUUCUUUUCAGAGCCAGAGAGGAAGCUUACUGCUCCUACUGAGUCCUUGACAAAAAUCGGCCUUAAGGGUCUGUCAAAUUCUGAAGCAGAGAUUUUCCUUGCUGGUGUUCCAGAGUUGGUGUUCUCAGAGCAGGCAAGCUGCUGACAAGCACAGGAUUCACUCUGAGACUUGGUCCCCUCCUUGCAGACAGGGAUGGUAUGAACUCUCUCAGCAAACCAUGCAUUAACCAUUUCUCUUGUGGCUUUCCUGACAAAGUAGGAGCGGGUGAAGUCGCAGUGAUCGUCCAGCCACGCUUCCACCGCUUCCUGCUCAGGCGAGGGGUGGCAGCUGCGCUCCAUGCUCCGCUCCGCGGCCGCUCUGCCUCCUCUCCCGGCCGCCGCCGCCGCCGCCGCUUCCCCCGUGAGCGGGGCCGGGGGCGCGGGGCUCCCUCCCUUCCUCCCUUCCUUCCCCCGCCGCCGGGGCUCCCGGCCUGCCGGGGCCGGCUCCCAGGUGCUCGCCCGGCUCGGGCGGCAGGAAGCCCGCGUCCGGCCCCGGCCCCGGCCCCGCCGCCGCACCUCAGCGCAUCCCCGGCCGCGGCAGGCAGCCGGCUCCACCUCCCGCAGCGCCUCGGGGGGCUGCCGCGCCCCCGCCCCGCCCGGCUCGGCUCGGAACGGCCGCGGAGCAGCGGCAGCAGCCCCCGGGCUCGGGCUGACGAUGCCCGGCGCCGCGGAGGGCGAAGGCGGCGUUUAUGAGCGCCGGGAGUGCUGCGGGACGGCUGGCCCGGGCGGUCCGCGCGGGGCAGGGAAAAGCUCAAAGCGAUGAAAAAGUAAGUUGUUCUCGGUGAGUCUGGCAAAGGGGCAAAGGGACCCCCCCCCCCCCGCCCCUUCAGUUAUUCUCCUUUCAAGAUGUGGCCUGCUUACGCCUGCUUGAAAAAGUGGGAAAACAGAAGUCUUCUCGGAGUGUUUCACGGUUGGGUGUCAGCUUGAAUAUGAGUAGGAAAGCCCUGGCUUUUCGAUCCUUCAUCCAAAAAGCCUACAGUGAGGCUUUUAAACCCGUUUGAGACCUUGAAUGAACACAGCCCAGCUUUGAAGAUGCUCCAGAUUCACGGCUGCUUUUUUUUUUUCCUCUACUAUUAGAAAGCAGCAUUGAAAGGCUGGGUUAAUGCCAAGCGUCGCUUUUAUGUCUUGUCGUUCCACUCUGUGCUAUCCGUGUGCACACAUAAUAAUUUACCAACUGCAUUCACAAAAUACUGUACACAAAAUAGAAUGCGCAUAUCUUGUUUCCUGUGUCAUCUAUGUACAUAGAGUGUCUUUGAAGGCAAGACAUCAAUAACAAAUAGCAGCGUGUUUCUGUGGAAAGGGAUCUUUGGGGUCUUUAAAAUGAUUGUCUGAUAUAAUAAACUGAGAAAGACUGCAAGUUUGUCUGCCCCUCUUAAAGCCUCUCAGUGUACACGGGGCGAUGCACCUCAGAUGGAGUACGCAGCCCCACACACCUCCGCAAUACUCUGCAGUGCUUCCAGAGCCUUGCCUCCAGCUCCUGGCAGAAGAAGUGGGAUUCUGCAGUGUGAGCAGAGACUGCAGCAGGAACUUCACAGCAAAGCGACUGUCUGUGAGCUUGUGGGGAAUCUUUUUCUUCUUUGUCUUUGUGUAACAUCUGUCUUCUGGCUGUAAGUAUUUGUGUAAUAUGAGGCACACCGAAAAGGGAAGGUUUACAUCAACAUCACUCCUUAUAAUUCAACUUAAACAACAAAUCUCAGAAGUGCACGUGGUGACCAAAGAGCAAAAUGUGAAGAUAAAGUAUAAACUGGUUGAGGCAUGCUGCAAAAGUCAAGCCACUAUUCAAGGCAAAGAGGAAUCUUUCAACAGGGAAAUUCAGAAUGCAGUAAACCACAGAAGCAGACAGCGUGGCAAUAAGGGAGCGUGGUGUUUAGUGUCAAAACCUGAAAAGCAUGAUCUGUUAGGAAAAAAAAUAAACUUAUCACGUAACUCAUGGAUUGCUACUGUAACUGUUUCAUUCAGAAAAGGGGUUUGAGGCUACACUAGUAGUGGCAAUAAUUUCUUCUCUAAGCUGGGCAAAGCUUUCAGAGAACAGCGUUAUGUUAGAAUGCUCAAGAAAUACAAGAGAAAUAUAAAAUAUACAGUUAUCAAAUACAGACUUCAUAAAUAUCAGACAGCAUUUCCCUGAAUGGUCUCCUAUAGGAUACUGAUCACAGUCCUCCACAUCCCAUCCCCAAAAGCUAUUGCAGAAUUAUCACAGUUGAUCUAGAGGGGAAAUCCAGAACUGACCAAACAGAUGGAAAUCUCUCUUCUGUAAGGAGAGAGAAAGAGAUUUUUUACAAAAGGACGAAUGCAAAUAUAUAAUUUCAUUUCUGGUAUUUAAAAUACAAUAGGAUUUGCUCUCUGUCUCAUUGGAGAAUAACAAGAUAAUGGUCAACAAAACUAUGUCAGCUGCAAUACAUACCAUCUCAUUUCACGUAAUUAUGAGAAGCAUUAACAGAAAUAGGCAUUUAUACUGUAGUAAGAUUCAGUAAACACCAGACAAGAAUAAAUGAGCAUUGUACUGAGAUCUGUAAACAGUAGUGUUAAAGUCUAGGCUUUGUAAUAAUAAUCAUAGAAUGGGUUGGGUUGGAAGGGACCUUAAAGGUCACCCAGUUCCAACAAUAGUAUUAAAGUCCAGGCUUGCUGAGAAGUGAGAGUACAGCAUCCCUGCUCAUGCCACAGGGUACUGGGACCCUGGGCGAAGCUUCUUGGACUGUGGACAGCUGCCUAGAAUGGGAGAAUGUGCAUUUGACUUUGUACCAAAGGAGGGGAAGUUGGGCAGGGCCGCAGUGCACUUUGCUCCAGGCUGACAGCCACUCAAUUAGCCAUCCUACAGAUAUGAAUCAGUGAAGCCGAUGCAGGAGAUCGUCCUCCUGUGAAUUCAGUGGUAAAAUAUCAGUUCAAAUACUGCUACCCAAGCAAAGAAUUGUGUAGUCUCUCCCAAAAUAAAUCAUAAAAAUGGAGAUGUUGGGGGAAAAAAUUGAUACUUUCUCCGUAUCCGAUGGAUUUCCAUGAAUAAUAAUGAACAUGCUGUUUUCAUUUUUAAGGUGACGGGAGGGGGUGAAGGCCAAGCAUAACAGAGGAGUGAAUGUUAAAGGUGGAAAAAAUCUUUCAUAGUUUUGGCUUCCAAAGUCCUGUGAAAAAGCUCCAUGCAUCUUAACUCACACCCAGCUUCCCAGUUUUCUUCCAGAAUUUGGAUGACAGAACUGUUGUAGCUGUAAAGUUGAAAAGGAUCUGUGGUAAUGACACACAAAAGGAAUGAAGAGCAGACAUGCUCAGAGCAACUGAUAGGCGGCUAGGAAGACUUUGAGAAGACUUGUGGCUUAUGACAAACUAAAAUCCUUUACAAACAAAUUUACAAUUAGUUUGAUACACAGUCAGCAAUGCUUGAUUGGAUUUCUGAGGAGCUGGGAAAUUCUGGAUGAAUCAGAGAACUUCAUCUCUUUUUAAAUGUGCCUAAUGUUCUGUCAGCCAUGCAGACAAUGGAAAACAUUUGUCAAAACAGAUGGCAGUGCUAGCCUCUCCACCACUGAACACAAAGGGUGAGUUCAAGGACCAGUUAAUGGCAGGAGAGCCAAGAAAUAUUUUGAGAUUUAGUUGAACAUUGAAUAUACCCCAAAGAAUACACUAUUGCAAUUCCAGGACUUGGCUAUGGCCACACUCACAAUACUGCAGGAACAGUCAUUUCAUAUUCUGAUCUUCCAGCCAAAAUGAAGAACUGCUGAGGUGCGUGAAAAAUAAGAUGUAGCGUUUAACAUGGUUUUUGAAAAGACAUGUUCAACAGCUGGUUCAGUCCAAUAGAACAUAUUUUACCUAGCGGUUCAUGGUAGUCUACAGCGCCAUUCAGUUGCUUUUCAUACACUAAGGUAAAUAUUAUCAUAAUAGAAUUUAUGCAUACAGAGUAUGCUAAGACUAAAUGUGAACAUAUCUGGAUUUUCUAUUUAAAAAUGCUGGCAUGUUACACCAUAGUAAGUUUAGAAGAGCAGUUAGGUAACCUGUUAAGCAGCUUAAAUUACUUUUUUUUUUUUUUUAAUUUAAAGAACUGUAUAGAGAUGUUCAUCAUAGAAUAAUAGAAUCAUUUGAGUUGGAAGGGGAACCCUUACAGGCCAUCUAGCCCAAUUCCCCUGCAAUGAACAGGGUUACUUGCAACUUGAUCAGGUGCUCAGAGCCUCUCCAGACUGACUGACCUUGAAUUUCUCCAGGAACAGGGCAUGCACAACCUCUCUGGGCAACCUGUGCCAGUGCCUCAUGUGCUCCACACCCUGUGUAACUUUCUUAUGAGCACGGAACAAUGAUAGGUACUUAAUUUCUAUGACUUUGGUUUCAAAUUGGACCUAGAAUAUAUGUUUUUCUCUUUAUAAAUAUAUUAGAUUCUUCUUUCAAAAAAAUGUAUUCACUGAUAUUUGUCUAUAGAUUUUGACAAUCUUUAAGCUAUGCAUUUAUUAAAUUAGUACUGUUUUAAGAUGCAUUCAUUAGUCUUUUUUUCUAAAAAUGCAUUAGACUUCUUUCUGUCAGAUGGAAAUUUAAGUUCUGUUGCCAUCUAAAAUAACCUUAAACUGUGUGCAAGUCUGUUGAUGAAAGCUGCUAGGUGCGUCUAGGUUAAUGAAGUUUUUGUAAUUUAUGCCAUUCUAGGACCCUUUUUAGAAUGUUUGUUCUGACUGGACUUUGGAAUUAUCCCCACCUAGAUUAAAGAAGUUCCAGAGGAUGCUGGUGGAAAAAGAUUACUAAAGUUGUGCGUCUUCUAGCAUGAUUGUUCUUAUGCCCACAGCAUGCUGAGGAAGUGAAGAAGGGAGGAACAGGGAGAACCCAUUUAAAACCACUUCUGUGUCUGUAACAGAUUUGUUUCUUCCCAAUCAAAAUGUUACAUUAGAUACAAGAUGCUCUAAACUGCAGCCUCCCUGUAUUGGCAUCUGUCACCAGCAGACCACAAUUUCUCCACCUCGGAGAACAGAUUAGGGCUCAAAUGGUGAUAUCACUAGAGGAAUAGUGGGCAUACUUCCAUAUGUCUCGCUCAAAAACUUGGUGAUCUUUAUGUGAUGAAUUUGGCCAGUAAGUCAUUUCUUGGAAGGCGGAGAUGGAAGAUGUGAGGAAAAUAGCUGUUAAGUUUUGCCUUAAGCACUGAAGAUCAGUGCAAAUGCCCUAUUCAGAUAUUAAUGCCCUUCUGUUGGCAGUAGUGUUCAACUUAUAAGAAACUGUACAUUUUCCGGGUAACUGUGGCAGUUGCACAGUGACACAAUGAGGUCUGUAAAGAUGUGGGAGGUAAUUAUUAAAACUAAGGACCUUGAGGAUUCUCUUGUCAGAUUGCAGCUUACUGUUGAGGCAGUCUCAGGAGGAUCACUUGCUUAGACGAAGCACAUUUCUUUUUUUUGUUUUGUUUUGUUACAGUACUUGAGUUUUAUCAAACUUUUUUUUGGGCUUUCAUCUGUCACUGUCACAGUGUAGUUUGCUCCCCAGUCAUUCCUGGAUCUGGAGCAUUUGGGAGCAGUAUAAAGAAGUGAAAAUGGAUGCACAAGACUGGAAAACCAUGCCUUUAAAUAUAUUCAUUCAAAUUCAUAUUUAUUAAAAAAAAAAAAAAAAAAAAAGAAAAAAGAAAAAAAAAGAAAAACUGUAAGUGUAUUGUUUUCAGAAAUCCGGUUAAUAAACAAGGCAUUUCUUACCUUUGUGAAUGUAUUUAGUACUGUCUAAACCAAAAAGAAAUGUUAUUGACCAUUAAUUCCCUAUAAACUUAGGUUCUUUCACUUUAAUUUCACAAUGACAACACAAUUUGUUUCAUGCUAUUCCAGGGCUAUUAAGCUUUGAGUUUAUGUCAGUUUUGCUAAAACAACUGGAAUGUAACCACCUGCAUAUUUAUCCUACUAGUCAAAUUCCCUUCACUUAACAGACCUAGUUUUGACUUCAUAUAUUCUCUGAGAAAGAACAAAGACAGCUUGUGGUCUCUUAUUGCGCAGCAUGAACAGAUUAUAUCAUUUAAGGUAUGAUCAAAUGUCUCAGUAAAUUCAACUGCAUGCAGUAAGCACUACUGUUAUUAGGCCAUGUUAAAGUAAGAGUGGAAUUCCCAGUUCUUUCCUAAAGAGCAUCAGUAUGUUAUUCCUAGUAAGUAACUCUUUUUCAUGCAGAAUAUGGCUUUGUUUUUGUUUGGGAUUUCAAAAGGUACCACACUAUUUUUAGUUACUAAAUAAUAUGAUUUAGUAACUGUUCUCAAUAGAUUGUGUUGGCAUCUUGUGAGGACAGCAUUCUAUUUUCUCUUAAAAUAAAAUCAGUUCUAUGAAAGCUGCGUUAUUUUUGUGAAAGCAUUUGUAUAUAUUUCUUUUGCACGUUAAUCCUUAGCAUUAUUUUGCUAAGAACACUCUUAGCGUGCCAAAAAAAAAUCUCCUGAACCCCAAUUACAAACCAUUCUGCAGCCAAAAUUUCUCAUGUAAAUAUCACGUUAGGUAGGUAGCAGGUUCUGGAAGUACAGUAUCUGUAACCAACUUUUCAGUUUUCUGAGCCUUAUGACUGCUGCGUAUUCAAAGCAUUGUUCAUUUAUUGUAUUUGUUAUCUAGUUAGAUUGUAUAAUGUUUAUCCAGCCAGUUUGCUUUCAGCCUUACCUCAGUAUUCACAACCUCAUCUUGCUGAGAAGUCUUACCCAGGCUUCUUAUCCUGAAAACUUGGGGCUUUUUAUUUGUUUUAUUAACUUCCAUGUCUUGCAAGCAGUCCAGUUUUUGUUCAGUCGGUGUUCUGUAGGCUGGUGCAUGUCUCUGCACUGCUUGGGUUUUCUUUAAUCAACAUAUGGGCUAUAAUACAUUGGUUGUUUUGAGUCUGAUGUCAUGGGAAAAAGUGUUGCUUGAGUCAGUAUGGAAACGUGCCCAGAUACGCUCAAAUUGUUUCUUCCUUGACUGUAGUAUCAUCUGCUUGGAACUUUUCACUUGCCUUCUAAUAGUUAUUCCUGCUUGUCCACAGGCUGUUUCCAGUCCAAAUAUAGUGCUACUUGAUUGAAAAAAUCCAAGGAGCAGUUUUGUUUUUGGCAUGCAUUUAGCUAUCCCAACUGAAUCCUUUCUGGAACUUCAUGGUUCAGUUUGUCAUAAAGUGUCAGGGCUCACUAAGGCUGUCCCUCUGGACUUCACAGUGCAACUUCUGUGUUUGCAAGGCAAGAAGAACUCCGCAGAAGCUUGGGAUGUUUUUUAAACUCUUUUCUCCCUCCCUCUGAACUCAUUGUGAGGAAGCAUUGACCUAAGGUACCCUCAUGGAACUCCUACUGACCUGUAAUCUGGAUUGUGCAAUACAUGCAGGGCUAUGCCUGAUGUUGGAGUGUUUUUCUUGCACUGAAGGAUUUUUUCUUACAAUAUUUGGGAAUUAGUUUAAGAGCCUAAUUUUAUUAGCUUGGCUGCUUAGCUGAAGAAUAUUAGUGAGGAUAAACUAAUGUAACUCCACUAAUAAAUAGCAGAGUGGAGUUACAACAACAGAAGAAAUGGACCUUAGAUUCUAGGGAAAUCAAUACACAGGAGGAACAGAUCAAUAGUACCUUGAAAGGCUGUGACGCUUUCCUAAACUGUGUGGGUAAUGUGUGGAAAUUUAACAGGAAAGGAAAAUCUAACUAGAAGUUUAGUAUUGUUAUUGUUGAUGGCGUAGUUGCUGUAAGAAAACCAUGGAAAUCUCUUCAGAAUAAAACUGUCCUGAGCUUUAGUUUCAGAGAUGUAGGACCUGUUCAGGACAAGAGGCUCAGCAGGCCUCAGAGUUUGCAUGUACCCGUUAAAACAUUCAACAGAGUGAGUGCAAAAUGUAACAGCUUCUGUGCCGUAAAUACUAGCUGGGAUGUUUCUGUAACUUAACUCAGCUGCAUAAGAAUGGGUUUUCCUGAGAACAAAAAAGGCACCAUUCUGACUUGGAGGUUGUCUUGCUGCCAGAUUUCAAGCUUCUGGUACAAAUCAUUAUGGCUCUUCAGAAAACAUAUGAAAAAUAUGGAUGUUGGCAAAAACAUCUUUCACUAAGUUUGUUCCAAAAAUGGCUGAACUAUUUUCUAUCAAGCUUUCAAAUAAAUAAAGACCAGAGUUUAAGUAGCAGAAGUUUCAACCUGACUGGUUGAAAUUUGGCAUAUUUGAAAGCCUAAGUGUUUAAUGAAAACAAUUAGGCAGAGUGAACUGUUGAUUUCAUAAUGUGCUCAUCCUUUAAUAACAGCAUUAAGACUAGAAGGAAAGGAUCAGGAUAUGUCCACCCUACUUCUUUGUAAUACAGUUUAUCUUGGCAGAUAGACAGGGUCUUGUGACAGAACUGAAUGCUAUCGGUCUUUGUGUGGUCUAGUAGCAAAAGUGCCACCUAUUUGUUAGCUACCUGGAUGUUUUUAGAAGAUGGUGGGAGAAAAAGUAUGUAGGUUAUCUUUUAAAGAUGUAGAAGAGAAGUGCUCAGAAGUGUAAUACAGCUUCCUAAGCUUUUCAUUUUGCUUAACCUUUUCCAGGACAUUCCCAGCUUGUAGCCAAUUUGUCUUGUAUUCAAAAUUUUCUUCAUGUGUUUAACUGAACAAAAAGAAACAUCCACUGCAGAAAGUGGUUCUGUUUUGCAAGGGCUGCAACAUAUUUUCUGGCAUCUUUCUUUUCUGGCAUUUUAAAUUGUGCUUAAAGCCUUCUUAGUUUCAUGUAAAAUGACUUCAGUCAUGCUUUUCAAAGGGACACUGGUAAUGAUUUUUUAAAAUACAACAUCAGGUGAGGUCUACUCUGAUGCCAUCUGACAAACCACUCCUGUUUUUGUUUGCAUUAGGAACUUUAUAUAAAAUUGGAUGGCUGAGGAACAACUUGUGCGAUCUUUGGUUUCUUGUAGCUGCUUAUGGAGGAACUGCUGAAGACUGUAAAACACAAAGUGAAAAGAGGGGUGAAGAUAUCCAGGCCUUCCUCGUGUGGUGCUUAGAUAGAGGGAGCAGGGUGUAAUUCCUCCAAGGAAUUGAAAACAUGCUCAUAAUAGUGUGGAAAUAAUAUGUAUCUUUUACUACCUAAAAUUCACUGGAUUUUAACUGAACAGGGAACAAAGUUUUAAAAAAUAAUUUAUAUAUAUAUUCAUGUAGACCUUGAAGUUAGACUUCUCUGGAUACCCUUAAACCACAGCGAAGGUGAUGACAAAACUUAAUUCAUCUACAAAUAAAUUCAGAAUAAGUUUAUCUUGAAUGCAGUUGUCUUGUUAAUCAGAAGUCCAGUUUGUGCUUUCUGUAAGCUUGUCUCACCUGUUAUGCUUCCUGACCACCUAUAAAAACGAACACUAACUGCUCCUACUUUCCUCAUCUCAUCACUGUAUAUAGAUAUGUAUUUUCUGUCUGGCCCCCAUCACAACACUUUUGUUUCAUGAAGUGUUUUUUUUUUUUUUUUGUCUAGAAGUAAAAGCAUCUGGCCCUUAGGAGAGGUACUUGGCAGUUACAAGGGAGCAUAUAGUCUGAUAUUCAAACUGAGAUAUUUCUUCUUAGUUACUAGUUUGUAUGACCAGUGUUUAUAAAACACUGAAGGAGAUAUCCAGGAUAUUUUUGCUAUUUAUAUUUCCCAUUGUUGCAGUUCUCUAGGGAUGAUUAGCUUGGUUGGCUUCAGUGGUGUGAUAGCUAUUGGUAUAAAUAACUUUCCAUAAGAUUUCCAUAUGACUUCAGAACGGCUUAUUUGGUAACAAAAACAUUUCUAAAGGGGUUUAGUUCACAAGCUUUUUUUCUGAAUUUCAUUCCAGGCACUGUUUUGCAUACAGAAUAACUAAAAAUCUUUAGAACUAGUCUUUCAGUGCCCAGGCUUCUCUAAGAAAUCUAAUUAUUUAACUCCCUUUUUCAAGAGUCUCAGACUCCUUGGAUUCUUUAGCAUUUCUGUAUCUCAUGUAUCUCAUAUCUGGUAAGUUUAGAAAAAAUGUGAGAAAUGCUCACCUAGAUGACAGUGAAAAUAAACUAGAUGUAUCAGUGAUCAGAAACAAAUAUAGCUUCAUGAAUAGCUGAGGAAAGCUGGCCGAGGGACAGCUAUUCAUUCCAAUUUUUCCAUAUAUUUGAAGCAUCACUAAAGUUCUGCUGUUGGGAAAGUUGUGGACUAACAGCCUUUCCUGUGAGACUUCCAGUAUUUCCUGAUUACAGCCAGGAAAGCAAUAGAGGAAGAAAUGUCUCUUGCACUAUUUUGAUACUUAUGCUCCAGAUCCCCAGAGAGGAGGGAAGCAAAGGUAUGGUACAUCUGGGUUUGCAUGUGAAAAUGAAUUAACAUGAGGUUGUAAAUGUUCUAUACGGGGGCUUUUUCAUUCCAUGUUUUGGCUGCAAUUUUAAAUAGUGUUUUGGGGGAUUAAUGCUGUGGAAUAGUGCAUUUUUCCCUCACAGGGUAAAAGAUUUCAGACAGUCCAGAGGUCUAAAAUCCCAAGUAACCAAAAAAUGAAUGUUUGCUAAUCUUUCCCUCUCUAAAUCUAAAUUUAUACACUCAAACAUUCAGUGCUUGUAUAUAUAAAGGUACACUUUGGACACCCAUUCUAAUUAACUGAGAGAUCUUGGAGGUAAUAAGAAUUUGUCCCUACAGUUCAAGGUCUUUCAGCUAAGGAGACUUCCUUUAGUUAUCAGCAGAAAAUACUGGAAGUCUUUGUUCUCACAUGUCUUCUUCAGUUAUGUGGCUUUUCAUGCAGACGUGGGUUAGAAGCAGCUAGGUGUGCAGACAUGAUAGCAUCAUAUAAAGAUGAGAUAGAUUUAUUAAAAGGAUAUAUCCCACUCUGACAGCAAAACAUUCAGGGUGUUUGUGGAAUCUGACACUCUUCACUGUACCAGAAUGAAGUCACUGUUAUUCCAGUGUGAAAUACUUGUCUUACCAUGACAUACUGUUUGCUGCAUAGAAAUGCAGGCAUUCCUCAGCUAAAAAGUGCUCUUAUGUACCCUAAAACUUUCCCUGGAGGAGCAGCCCUGCUUUUCUUGGAGAAGAAAGUUUCAGAAGUGUUUCAGAGCCAUCUAAAAUUGGAAACCCCCAGAGAGUGAGACAAUCCAUUGGCCAAGGGGACGUGAAUACAUUUGAAAUUUAUUAAAACCUUGGAGACUUGCUGAAGUCACACAAUGGUAAUUAGUCAUCAAGGCUCCGCAGCCUGGGAACAAGCAUGGCACCUGAUACUCUGUGGUGCUAUGAGAGCACAGUUUUUGCUGGUAGUGGUACAACUGGUGUAACAAACUUUAUCCUGCUCCUGAAAGCAGGUACUGAAGCGGGGAAUUCUUGAACUAAGACUUUGGGGUACUGUCAUGAGCCAAAGCUCUCCAGCAUAUAUGUGGAGGGAAAAACUUGGCUGAUGUUCUCAGUUAAAGUGUCACCCUUAAGCACAUUUGACUGCGGCUCCUCCACUGGAAAUAAUGGAUAUAAUAUUCAGAAGAGUUUGAGAUUAUCUGAAGAUAGCAGGGAGGAAUUUCAUUGCUUCCUCUGAUAUAUUUUUCAAAUAAUCAGCAAGACGAGUUAAGAAACCAUCAGGAUAGAUUCUUCUUUACUGCAGGCUGUGGCACUGAGGAAACUGCCACCUGGUAGAGGUGUCACUGCCUGCUUCUCUGUACUACUGCUGCUCCCUAGUGCAAGAAGGAAGUCAUGGUAGGAAUCCACAAUUCAUUAGAUGUGGUAGGCAUUCUGUUCACUCUAAACUGUCUGUAAUAGUGGUAGAGAAAGAAAACUCACUUGCUUUUGUCCUAGUUCUUAUAACAGAUUUUAGUCAUCUACGUCAAACUUAGGAGAGUUAUCUGAGAGACUUUGCUGUGAAACCACUAAUGUCAUUCUUGGGGCGGGGGGGGGGAAUACUUCCAUUUCAAAGACCAAAACCAAAGUUAACCAAUGUAUGCUCUGCUUGAUCUGGAUUUACUCCUUCCAAAAAUAAACACAUCUGCAAUAUUUAUGACUUCACAUAGAUAUAAUUCCCUUUAGCAAUAAGGUAAUUGUUCAAAUUAAAGUUAAUUGUUAAUACCAAAAUCUAAUCAAAAUCAAAAAAAUAUAUUAAUGCUUUUUUUUUUGCAUGCAUAUAAGAAAAUAAUCGAACUUUUUCACUUUAAUACUACUGUCUCAAUCCAAAAAUUUUAACUUUCAUGUCCUGACUUCUGACAUACACAAAUCUGAUAGAAUAAGUUGAUUAUAUUGGAUCUAAACUUCAGAAGAAUGAUGUUUUGUUCCUUGUUUUUCACCUGAGAGCUUUCUAAUUAAGAAAAAAAAAAAAAAAGUAAGAAAGAAACCCUUCCUAGUGAAUCUCUAGGGGGAAAAAAAAGUACUUGAAAAAAUGCUUGAAUUGCAAAUAGAUACCUUUGCUAUCAAAAUCAUGUUAUUGCCAGGCUUGCACCGCAGAUGGCCACUGCAUUUAAAAAGCUUGUUGAGUUGCUAUUUCAUCCCCCUAACAGAUGGGGAAGCAGCAAAAAGCAGCUCUCACUUUUCAGGGUUUUGCCUCUGUAUUGUUUGGACCACAGACUAAGAAAAUGAAGGUCAACCUGCAGAGCAAAUUGGGAGUGUGGAAGAUAUUACUUUUUCAGUAUCUGGAUGCAGCUGUACUGGCUCCAAUAUUUGAAGAGAAAUCACAAAAGCUUCUUGAUGGAACUCCAGUGUGCUGUUCUUGGGAGGUCUGGAAUGAUUGUCCCUCAUCUGAGCUGACUGCCAUUCUUACAAAAACAGAACUCCCACAGCCGAACACUUCCACUUAGAAUGAAAGAUAGAAGGGAUAGCUUUUCUGUUGUAUUGUGUAUGUCCUUUUACAAGGGCUUAGUCCCAUUACUUCAGAUGAUGAAAAACAGAUUUCACUAUAGUGCUUCUAAUAUACCUGUCUGUGAUGUAUUUCUUUCCUUGCAAAAAUAUUGGAACAUUGUUUGAAGAAUAAAUAGCUUCAGUAAUUUGAAGGCAAUUAUUAAGUUUCUGGUCAUGUAGCAGGUGUUAGGUCUUCUAGCUAUUCUCUGUCAAGGGACUACAUAGCACUUGUCAAACUGCUUAAAAAUUAGAGAUGGAGUGUUCUUCCUGUUGUUCUAGGUAUCACAAAUCCUACAAUUUAUGAAGAUGACAUGAAAUAAUUUAGUUUGCUUCUGAGGUCAAUGGUGAUGAUAGCUUAGGGAUUUAGUUGGCCAUUUGAGCCCAGUUUCUUUAAUCCAUCUCUUUUGGCUCUUGCUCUAACUUGGGUAUGGAAUGAAAGAGAAACCUGCAUCUAAGAGAGGGGACAGAGUUUGUAUGCAAACAGCUCAGCCUCUUGGCUCUGUGUUCAAGCUUAAAUCUGAGCACUAGUCCAAAAGAGCUCCUAGAGGUUCUGUGCUUUAACAGGAAACAAAUAAUUUAAUAAAAGGAAAAAGGAUCUUCACCUCAGCUGCCCAUCCUUGGGUUUCAUAGGAAGAAUCUUCCUAUCUUCAAGGGUGCACAGUUCUAAGUGAAAAAUUUCAGACUAUAGUGAAGUGACUUCCUUUGCCUUUCCAGCUAUGCCAAAUUGUCUUACUGCAGGAGAAAUACAUGCAGAAAGUGGUCCAAUGUUGGUUUGCUGCACAGAAAAUAGAAGUAGGCAAGAAUUAUCACUUGAGCUGCUAUACUUGGUUUUAAGAGUGUUUUUUGCUGUCUGGAUGACCAGAUCUUUUCUCUGGUUCUUUUCUUUUUGUUCCUAUUGCAGAUCUGCAGCUGAUACAUGAUCACCAGUUCUUUGUGUAAGUGCCCUUGCAUAACAGAACAGCUGAAUAUAAAUGUAUUUUUCAUAGCUUCCUUUACAGUUUGCACUGUAAAGACUUCCUUUCCUGGAAAGAGCUGGCAUGUCAUUGCAUUUUUGUAAAAGUAAUGAGUUCCUCUUGAAGGGGUAAAUCAGAAAGUCAUAAAAAAAAAUCAACCCAGGCAGCUGACAAGAUGUUUUAGAAGCAGCUGAAAAUGAAAUGGAAAACCUUUCAAACUUGUUGUUCCUAGCCUGUUCAUAUUAAAUCUGUUCUAUAAUUGCUGCCUGUACAAACUUAGUAGAAAUUAACCUUUCCUUGGGUUACUCAAGACAAACACCAUUCUGAAAGUGGAUAGCUUGCAAUAAGUGUAGUGCUCCACAUACACAUAUUUGAAAUGUUAUCUUUAGAGUUCAGUACAUUCUGUAAAUUACUUCUGCAGUGUAUUCCUUACUAUAGUUUAACACCAUUUCAAGCUCAGUUGUAAAUUAAUUUUAUACUGCCUUGGACAUUUUUCUUUCUUUUCUUAGACAUCAAUAUACAAGUGUUUGGAAAUCUAUGGAGUUUAUAAAAGCUAUCUAAUUAAAAAUGUUUGAAAGAGAAAUGAACACAACAAAAUCAGUUAUCUAGAAUUCAAACAUGUGCAAGUACUCUGCGUUCUAAUGAGAUAAAGCACCUUCUGCAGUUCAUGAAAAACUUUCGUGUAUCUCUUAAUUGUGAGCCUUGGCACAUCUUUUGAUUAUGAUGCAGCUUUGAGUAUCCGCUGCCCUACUUUGAAUCCCAUGGCAAUGUCUUUCAGGAUUUCUCUUGGUUAAAAAAAAAACAAACAACCAACAAAAAAGGCUUUGCAGCAUGACUCAAUGCCUUAAGGUACAGAACAAGGGCACUUCUCUUCUUGCCGAAAUGGGAAAUGACAGCAGCAGGCAGGAGGAGGAAACUUCAGGGUGAGUUGUGGGAAAUCUCUAGGUACUUCUUUUUGUGAUGUUAAUGAAUUUAGCAAGUUUCAAGGUGGAAUCUUUUUCAUCUUAUUUUUAAAAGUGAAUAGCUGUGGUAUUUACAUGAUCCACAUAAAAUGUGUUAAGGAAAGUUGUUGAUAUGAAUUUCUUUUCAAACUGUGGCCCUAAGCUACUGUAGUACUGAAAUAAGAUUGAACUGAUCAGGUUGGUGCAGACGCAGUCCAUCCAGGUAAUAAAAUAAUAUGGCAAUUUUGUGAGCAAUCUGAACAGGUGUAACUUCAUAAGCGAUGAAUUUUACGAAAUAAAUGCUACAAAGAGUUUUUGUCACAAGACGGAGACUGAUACAUAGACUCCCAUGACCUCUCUCUCUGUGGCUGUCAAAUGAAGUCCCCAGUGACAGUAAGAAGGGAAACAUUACUCCCAUUUUCUAGAAAGGGAGAAAGGAAGACCUGGAGAACUACAGGCUGGUGAGCUUCAUCUCUGUACCUGGGAAGGUCAUCAAGUGGAUCCUCUUGGAACAGAUAUUAUGGUAUAUGCGAGAUGUGGAGGUGAUCUGAGACAGCCAGCAUGGCUUCACUAAGGACAGACUGUGGUGGCCAAUCUGGUGACCUUCUAUGAUGAUGUGACAGCAUCCGUGGACAAAGGAAGGGCAACAGAUGUCAUCUACCUGGGCUUGUGCAAGGCCUUUGAUGUAGUCCCACACUACAUCCUUAUCUCUAAGUUGGUGAGAUAUGAAUUUGAAGGGUGUACUAUUUGGUGGAUAAAGAAUUGGUUGGAUAGUCAUAGCCAGAGGAUUGUUGUCAAUGGCUCUAUGUUCAGGUAGACAUCACAAAUAAUGUCUCUUAGGGGUCCACUUUGAGACCAGUGCUUUUCAACAUCUUUAUCAAUGAAAUAGACAGUGGGACUGAGUGUACCCUCAGCAAGUUGGUUGAUGACUCUAGGCUGAGUGGUGCAGUUGACAUGAUAGAAGGAAGGGACACCAUCCAGAAGGACCUGGCUGUGCUCGGAAAGUUGGCCCACAAGGCUCCAAUGAGAUUCAACAAGGCUAAGUGCAAGGAGUUGCAAUUGCAUAGAGGCAAUCCCAGAUAUGAGUACAGACUGGGAGAAGAACUCAUUCAGAGCAGUCCUGUGGAGAAGGACUUGAGGGUCCUGGUGGAUGGAAAGCUGGACGUGAGCCAGCAGUGUGUGCUUGCAGCCCAGAAAGCUGACUGCAGUCUGGCUGCAUCAAGAGGGGAGGCAGCAGGGAAAGGAAGGGGAUUGUCACUCUCUACUCUGCCCUUGUGAGGCCCACCUGGAGUACUGUGCCCAGGCCUGGGGUCCCAAUAUAGGAAGGGCAUGGAGCUGGCGGAGUGGGUCCAUAGGAGGGCCACAGAGACGAUGAGAGGACUUCAGCACAUCUUUUUAUGAAGAAAGGGAACUGGGCUUGUUCAGCUUGGAGAAGUGAAGGCACUGGGGAGACCUCCUUGCAGCCUUCCAGUACUUGAAGGGAGCUUACAAGCAGGAGGGAGACUGACUUUUUACACAGUCUGGCAGUGAUAGAACAAGGGCAAAUGACUUUAAACUAAAAGAGAGAAGAUUUAGGUAAGAUAGUAGGAAGAAAAUUUUCACGUUUCAGGGUGGUAAGGUGCUGGCACAGGCUGCCCAGAGAGAUUGUGGCUGUCCCAUCCCUGGAGGUGCCCAAGGCCAGGUUGGAUGGGGCUCUGGGCAGCCUGAUCUGGUGGGUGUUAGCCCUGCCUGUGGCAGGGGGUUGGAACUAGAUGAUCUUUAAGGUCCUCUCCAACCUCAGCCAUUCUAUGAUUAUACGAUACUCUCUGGAAAUUAGAAAGCAGGAAGAGAGUGAUUCUUGUAAAUGCUCGGUUUUUGCUUUUAUAUGUAGCAUAACCUUGGCAUUCACUUCCUUUACCUUAAUGAUCCAAAUACCUAUAGAUAAUGGAAAAUAACCAGACUUGCACAUUUAAUAAAUUACUGCCGCAACCUUAAUCGUACUGUGAAGUAUCAGUUUCCCAUGAUGGCAACUAGAGUUGUGAUUAGUCAUUUUUGCACCUGUCAGAUCCUCGUAGAUUUUAGACUAUGAAAUUUGAAAGUAAAAACACUGUGGGAACUUACUAAAGUUUAUUGUUUGUAAGAUCUUCCUUUUCUUAUCAGAAUUUUAACUAAUUUUGUACAUCUCUACUUAGAAGCUGUUAAGCAAAAAGUACUGUCAAUGUAAGCCAGAACCAGCUCAAGUAAGGACACCAAGAAGUUUUUGCCUAAGUGAACUACAUACCAGAACUAUUGUUUCUUUGGAAAGUUAUUUGUUGUCUCUGUUAUAUAAAGAGGGGUUGGAAAUAGAUGGAAGCUUUGAAGUUAGUCUCAGCUAAUACUGUGAAUGAUGAAAAUUAACCCACAUUACUGGCAUUAGUCCUUACAGGCAAAGCAUUCUUCAUUGUUGGUAUGGCUAACCCCUUGCUAAAUGCCAUGCAAAAUCCUGAAACGGUUAAAUCCACAAAUACAAACACAGCAUGCCAGAAUUAAUUAUUAUGUUUGUUAGGAAACAAUGGUAAAUUCACUUCUAUAGAUGCCCAUUUGAAAACUUUAAUACACCAGUAACCUAAUGCUUGGAAGAAAGCAACAUCUCAGCAGUACUUCCAUAAUUAAGAUUUCACUUCCCAGUGUCGGGCUGCCUUCAGGGAGUGUGCCUCAUGAGUCUCAACACAUUUUUACGAUAUAUGAUACUGUUGUUUCAAUGCAAUACACAACAUCACAUUCAGUUGGACCAAUGUAAACGCUAUGGCACUGCAAUGUUAUUCUUUUAACAGAUGGUUUGUACUUCUAACAGGGAAAGCUUUAUGAAAUUUGUAUUGGCUAGAAUUACAGAAAGCAUACCCAUUUAGUGGUUCACUUUGAUACGACUUUUCUAUUUUACUGCUUGGUGCAUAGGGAUAGAAUUGUUUAAUUUUUUUCCCCUUUCCUUUAUUUUUCUUGCUUUUGUCUUUAAAGAGCUCCAAAGAAUUUGUGUACAGUGUGGUUUGAAGUAGAAAAAGAUAUUCAUUUUGAACAGGCAUUUUGUUUUAGUAAGUAUCCAUUUCAGAACCCUUGUGCUUAUAUUGGUGUGAAUGGCGUGGCUUCAAAGGACAAAAUAAAUACUUCAUACUUAGUGUUGAAAACAACCUGCUGUCAGCAGAAAAGCUUUUUGAACUGGCUGGAGCCUGGAUCUGAGAAAUUAUUAAUUUCUGACAUCUCUUAGACUAUCUCUUUUCCUUUGAGCUUGCUUUAAUGAGCAUCACUUGGUACAGCCAAGAUAAAUGGCACCAUCCUUAGUGGGUCCCUGGAUAUUAUGUGGCAGAGUCCUGGUGCAGGGUCAGACUUGAGCACCAAAGAAAUCAUCUGCCUUUCAGUUAUAUUAAUAUCUUCUUCAUUUGCAGUAAUGUGCAAAUCCUUGAAAUCUGGUGUAGGUGCUUAAAGUCAAAUUUAUGAGUGUAGGAACCUAGGUCUGGGAACUUUGUCUUAGCCUUUUCCAGUUUAGGGAGUGUCCUAAGAAAGCUGAGAUUAUUCUGCCUGGAGAAGAAAAUGCUCCAAGAGACCUGACUGUGGAUUUUCAGUGCUUGAGGGGGGUUAUAAGAAAUGUAGGGAGAGAAUUUUCACUAGGGCCUGCAGUGAUAGGAUAAAGGAUGCAAAAAUGAAACAAUGCACUCUGUGUGCUACAUCUUCCUCAGAGAAGGAACAUUUUGCAUCCUAGGCAAACAGACUGUAAACACUGCCUAAGGCAGAUAACAGACUCCUACUUGUGUCAAUUCUGUGGCCACAGCAACUGAUGUUGUUGGAAGAAAGCGGUAGAUCCAGGUGGGUGCUUGUGCCCUGGCUGGGAAGGGACCAUGUCUGGUAAGGCUUUGAUUCCAUUAGAACUCCACUUGCUUCAUCUCACUGUGGGUCCAGCGAGAAGUGCUGGCACAACUCAGAGUGAAACCACACUUACUGCAAAUGCCCAGUAGUACUCUUGUGCAGUGAAAUUCUCUGGUGUGGUAACACAGACUGUAUCUUAGAGAUGCUAGUUUGUCCUAUUUGCAGCUGGGGCACUUCCCACACUUCAUGUCUCAUGUGAAGCAAUGGGAGUUGUGUGCAUGUAGAUAUAACAUUAAGAAACAUGAACACGCCCUAAAUAGAGCUAUUAGAGGAGGGGGAAAAAGGAAACAAAAAGAAAGCAUGGCCUUUUCUUUUGCUGUCUGUUUUCCCUUUCCUUAUGCUAGAAUGAGUUGACAGCUCACAGAAGUGAGUGGUGCUCUCUCUAACACUGCAUCCUCUACUUCUGAGGAAAUAUUGAAGGCAAAAUGUUCAGUGUAUUUAUCUUCAGUAUCCCUACUGGACUCCAAAGACUUUCACAGCUGAAAGGAUAGAAAAAAUCAUGGAAAUUUCAAGUUCAUAGUCCUCAAUAAGUAUUCAGCACAGUAGUUAGUAGAUUCUUAAUCUUUAGCAAGAUCAUUUUUAAUAUUUCAGAAUAAGUCUCACUGGAAUUCGGUAUCCAGUUUGAGUAGCAUACAAAAAUUAUAUGUCCUACAUUUUUAAAAUUUUACUUAUCUUCACCUAAUUUUAAGCAAUGAUUAAAGCAAGCAAGCAAGCAAACAAACAAACAAAAAGAUUCAUAUUCAGGAUUUUAACAGUGAAUAUCUAAACAUAAUCCUUGAAAGUGGUUUGCUUUUUGUUUGGACAAAGCCAAAUUAAUUCUGUAGGUGAAAAGUACUUAGCAGGAAACAUUUUUGUACCUCCUCUGAGCCUGCUUUUUUCCUAUUUUGGUGCUGACUGGACUACUGAUAUCUAGGAUUUCUUUCCUGAGUAGAAUGUUUUCGGCAGCUCAAAAGACAGCUGCAGGCUUGGGUCACAGCUGAAGGCCUCAGACAGAGGUUGUAUUUAAUGCAAUUUGGUUCUUUUUCUCCUAGCCCUGUUUUUCUUUGAAUCUGAAAUGCUCUUCAUUUUCACUCCAAAAAAAUUAAGUUAACCCUUGUGAAAUAGAGCUUGAAACAUGCAUUGAUUUCAUAUUUCCUUUCUUCAUGAGAAAUAGAUGCAUAUGGAACAUGCUUUAUUCAUGCAUAAACCAAAUUGUUUUAAAUGAACAAUUAAUAAAUUGUAUUUUCCUUUGAAUGCAUAUUUUUUGAGAGAGUCUAAAGUAGGCUAUUUGUAAACACAUACACAAUAAAGACAAAACUGGGCUUCCUGGGUAUUUUGUAUGCAGCAUAUCUGAGCAGUAACCGUACGAAGAAGUGAGCUAAAAGUUCAUGAUUUUUUAUAGAGUUACAAUAAUGAAGAGGAUAAAUUGUUAAGAGCAAAAGAACAAUAAAUUUUUAAUCUGAGGAAUGGUACUGUAGUGUGUGGGCUUCCAGAGGGUAGCCUCCAUUAAAUACCUGCUCAAGAAAUCAUCAAACAGCAUUGAUACACUAAUGCCAGUAGGUUUAUGUGUUUUAUUAGAUAGAUGCAUUAUUUAGUUCCUCUUUUUAAUAACAGAGGAAGCAAAUCUAUUUAGGAAAGGUGAGGCGCAGUCCAAGCUUGCUCUCUUGUCACUGGCAACGCUAGAGUAAUUUAUGGCAAAAACAAGCUACAGAGAGAAUGAAAAAUGAAGGGAAUAAAGAAGCAAGAUAGCCAAGAUACUGACUGCAGGCAGGUCAAAGACUUCUGGCCGUGGUACUUUGUAUUCCUAGAGGCUGCAGCUGGUUUUCCUCCUUAUCCGUAGAUUGAGGCUUAGACACUGCAAAGCUGUUCCUCACUCAUUGAUUAUACUUUUGUCAUCAAUGCACAAACAUACUGUUCUUGUGUAGCUGAAAUAUUUAAUGGAGAUACUAACAAAAGUUUUAGUUGGAAGGAUCUAGGUAUCAUAUCAUAAUUAAUUGAGAGAGAAUGUAAUGAAAAACAUGCCUUCAGCCAGAAAACAGAUGUUUCAACAAUGUUCUGUUUCAUAGAAUUGUUUGAAAAGUUUAAUUCCUCAAUGAAACAAAAACAGGUUUUGAAACCUUGAAGGCAAUCAAAAAAUGUACUGUCCCCUACUCAGCUCAAUACCAGGUGUUUCUGCUGCUCCCAGCUCAUAUUUCUCUAUGUACUAGGUCCACCCUGGAGUAGGUAAAGGUUGUGAAUGGUGCUGGGGAGCAGCAUGCCCAAUCCCAAGGGAAGGAGAGGGAAGAGAGCUCAAUUUGCACUUCUAUUAGAAACCAGGGAGCACCUUGAGCAGUGAAUUUUUCAAGCUAUGAAAGAAGGAAUAAGAAAGAAAAGGAAAGUGCCAGAAAGGUAUCAGGUGAAGAAAUGAAAACAAGGCAGUCUUACGGAAAUAAAAGGAAAACGAUGCCAUACUAAAUAGGGAGAAGCAACAUGAAUUAUCAGCUCUGAAAUCUGAAAAAGGAUAAGAGCGUGUCAUUCUUAAUGCAAGUAAAGUAUGAUCUGCCCAGGCAUGAAUAUCACCUUGUGUGUCACUUCUUAGCUAAAGACCCUGUCCCAACAUGGGGCAUCUCCAUCCCAUUAGGUCUUUUUAUAUGGGGAUUCUGAAAUGUAGGAUCUCUUGAAAGGUGGCAUAAGACAUGGAUGGAUGAAUGGAUAGAAACUGAGAUUAGAUAGAUGUCUGGUUUGACUAGAUAUAAAUGUGUCCAUAGAGCUGCUCUUGGGAACAUCAAGAACUGGUCGCACACACCCAGUCACUAGCUUAGUGCUAGACAAAAGAAAAGAAGAAAAAAAAAAAAAAAAAAAAAGGCUUGUUCCUCAAUCACUUUCUCCUUUCCUAUUUCUUUUUUUUCUACUUCUACACUCGUAAUUCAUCAACCUACUCUAUUCCCAUUUUCUCCUCACUGUUCUCCUCCAUACUCUUCUGCUGUGUUUUCCAUAUGCUUUCUUUCCUGCUCCUUUUUUCCGCUACAUUCUUCCCUCAUGCCAUGACAGCUUAGUUACAAAAUGACAUAUUGUGAAGGUGCUGUAUUUUCCGACCUCUUCCCUUACUCACUCUGGGUUGGGAGCAAAAUGUUCCUGGUGUGCUGCCAGAUGAACCUCUUGAAGUGCUACAAAGCUGGCUCCUUCCCAUGCAUGUACUCCUGGGAUGCACUCCCACAGCAUGGGCUUUUUGUCAGUUGUUUCCUACAUGGCUUGUCUUCUCUUCCUUUCCUGUGCAGGACUUAUAAAAAAAGCUUAUAAAUCAAACUUAUAAAACAAACUGUUUUUUAAAAAUACCCUGUCCUUAAAGACUAGAGGUAGCAAAUCUAUGUAUUAUAUAACCCACAUCCCUCUGGAGAAAAUGGCAAAACCUGUAAUACAUUCAAAGUGUGCAUAUAUAUGUACAUUAUAUUAAGCAUGGCAAUUCAGUCUAUGCAAGAUAGCUGUGUGAUUGCUAUACUUUUUGGGAUGGGUUGAGAUGAGCUGCCACUUCAUUUGCCUUUCAGCUUCAGGAUUACUUGGGGCUCUAGCUAUCACCUCCUCGUAUUAACACAGCAAACCUGGACUUUCUUCCUUAUAAUAUUACAAGAAAAGGCUUAAAAAUUUAUUCUGCAACUUCUGGCCCCCUUUUUAUUAGCAGCUAUUCUCAUCCUAAUGCUGAUAGGGUUGUUAUUUGACAAAUGGCAGAAAAAUGGCACAUGCCUUCUAUCACUCUGCAUAUCUUAAAAGGUACUUCAGUCUUGCAGUGUAUUCCUUCAAUUACUGUACUUUCUAAAUAUCUUUUUUUCCCUCUUCUAAGUACAUUCGGAAAUGGUGGAAAAAUACUGCUUUUAACACUAUGUGACAAAUAAAAAAUAAAAGUGUGUAAAUGUGUAUUAUCUGAGUAGAAAAGAAGGAAUGGUACAAAUAAUAAAUAGAAUAUAAUGAAAAGCAAACUCUGUUCAUGCUAACUUACAGUUUUAGAUCAUGAAAUACAGGCCCAGCUUCUGACUUUAAAAUGAAAUUCAUUCCAACAUAAAGAGACAGUGAGAUUAAACAUUUUGUGGUGUUUGUCAGUGAAGGGGAAAGCAUGGAGCUCAAGGAAAGCUGUUAUGUAACGUGUCCCAUAAACAUGUCUGUAUUUAUAGCACCUUAUUCAUCGCUGCCUUUUCCCUGCUGAGACGGCAGUCCUGGGGAUCUCUUCCUUAUACAGCUGACAAGCAUUGCUCUGCCUUGGCUGCCCUAGCGCCUCGUGCUUGGGCUGUGAGCUCUGAGCUCAGUGUUCAGAAGAGUGUAGUCUUAUAUCCACUUUCACUGGGUGUACUUAUUCAUGUGGGAUGUUUCAAGAUAAAAAACACAAGCAUGUGAGAGGGCGGUUUUUGUCUGUCAUCCUAGGUCAGAUGUUGAGCAGCCAUGGUGGGCCCAGGCAGGGCCUGGAAGAAGUUUCUUCUGCUCCAGUACCGCUCCUAUGCUGAGGGAGGGGUGAUGCCGUGCUUGUUUACUAUUGCACACAAGGCUGGUGGCAGGCCAGCACAUUGUCCAUGACCACCCUUUUGCUGCUUUGGUGGCUGAGCUGGCAGGGCCUCCUGGCUAUGCUAUGCUACAGCAGCACUGUGGAGUAUGUGACUUUCAUCAUGAGCACUCCAGUAGGAGGCCUUUGUUUUAGUGGAUGUCCCACAUGGGCUGAAUGUUUGAGUGUCUGUAAAGAGUGGUGGUUGAGAAAGGGGAACAGUGCUUGAUGUGUCCCCAGGCCCCUGCAGCCAGACUGAAUUAGUCAGUCUAGUUAGAUGUCUUGGGUGCAGUAAAGUUCUCCAGGACACUGAAACGUGUUACUCAAAGAAGCUGUGGUUGCCCCAACCCUGGGGCUGCUCAAGGCUGGGCUGGACAGGGCUUUGGUCAACCUGAUGUAGUGGAAGGUUUCCCUGCCCAUGGCAUGGGGUUGGAACUAGGUGAUCCUUAAGGUUUCUUCCAACUGAAGCCAUGUUAUGAUCCUAUGAUCAGUUUACAUCCCUCAUGACGCAACAACCAUGUCUUACACGUACCUCCUGUUUUUUGCCUGUUUUACUUCCUUGGAUUCAAGAAAUAUCACCAUCCACAACCUUUUCUGGCCUUGUACUGUGCUAGAAGUCUCUGCCUCUCCUGUAUGGAUUGCAGCAGUCCCAAAGACUGAGUAUGUGGUACUCCCCACUCAACCUUUCAAUUUUACUCUUUCAAGCUUCUGGGUACCUGAUUGGAUUAAGUCUUCUUGCAGCCAUGUGUCAGCUAUAGCAAGGCUAUGUAUACUUGCUAGGAGAGUCUGCAUCAUAAAACAUUAAAUUUUAAUUGCUCAUUUUCUCUCAGGAAAUUCAAAACAGAGGAUGCAAAUACAUAAAGCAGGAGUGUGUGAAGAAAGAGUAUUUUAAUUUGUUCAGAUUUCUGAUAUGCUUGUAAUUAAUUUACUCUUGAGCAGAGGCAGCAGUCCACGUGAGUGUGCUCUGACUUGAAAUGUGUCUGACAACUGGGAAGAGAUGGGGAAAGGGGUGGAACUGGGUCCUGUUGACCUUCCUAUUCACUCCAGAGUGGGUACGUUCUGGCCUGUUUCAGUUGGGACACCCAUCUAUUGUUUUGUUUUGUUACUUAUUAGCUUCAUAUCAUGCAAUUUAGUGCUUGCUUGCCAUUUGUGAUUGUUGCUGCUGAGUAGUGUAGAAGAUGAAACGCCCUUCAGUGAAACAGAGGCAUCACUAACACAGGAAUUUUACAGCUGCAGGGAAGCUAUUUAAAGGUAGACAAACACAUUUUAUUAGCUGUUAGGUUGCUAAGGAGCCAUCCACACCAAGUAACAGUAACUUCAGUUAGAUGUAGACACAUGUCAAGGUAGCACAUUAAGUAAUAGAAUAGAUGUGUUUAGAAACUAGCAAGAUGUACUUAAAUGGCUUUGAGUUGCCAAAGCCAGAUUGCUUGUGCCAGCCUUGAGGGAUUUCAAUUACGUAGCAGCUCAUGGGCUACCAAGAGCGUUUGCCUGCAUCAGGCAUGUUUCCUCCAGCAUCCCUUAUGUUGUCCUCAGCGUCAGCACUGCCCCCACCAAGAGAUUUGGCUCAGAGCUGGAGCUUUGCCCUUGGGCCUCUGAUUAUAAAAGAAAACAAAACAAAGUCCAGGAUAACUAGAAAGGAAUUCCCCUUUUGUUCCUUAAGCUCCGCGGGUGAAAGGUCCUGUAGAAGCUCCAGUUGUUGUUACAGCUUGUUAUUAGUCUUGGUAAGAGAUCUGGACAAAAUGCUUUUAAACAAGAAGUUCUUUUAUGACCAUCUUCUGAGCACCUCUAAUUGAAUUUUCUCUGUCUUCAAAGAUCUCAGAAAAAUCUUUGUUCACAUUUAAUGCCUGGAUGUAUUUGUUAUAUUGAUGAUAAUUUAUUUGCAAAGCACUACUAUGGUAAAUUCCUACAGCUUGUGAUAAAGAGCCCAUACCUGGUCACCACAGCAGGUCUCUUCUCAGUCUUAAGUGACCCCUGAUGCAUACACAGUGGUGGAGACUUUUUUUGGAGAAACAGAGGUCUUUGCCAGACCUUAUUUUGUUGUGAAGUUUUUUCACUUGUUGCAGUAAGAUUGGGAAAGUAAAGAACAAGUUCGGUGGCUCCUUUUUCUACACUGUCUUUGUCCCCUCUGGAAUUUUAAACUGUCACAUACUACUUCUUUUACAAUUAUUCUUAACUACUUUUCUAGAACCAGCUGUGCAGUAGCUCUACAAGUACUAAAUAUUUUGAUGAGAGUUCAGAAAAGCUACAGUGUUUUAUGGAUUUGAAGAUGUAGCUGAUGGAAAGCAGGGAUGGCUGUGUGGGAGCUGUGUUGUGCCAAGAGCUGUCCUGGAGCUGUUGGUGUCUAGGGAAGAAAUUUUAUGAUUUUGAAACUUUGCUUGAGAAUACCAGAUCUUCAGAAAGCAAACCAAACUGAGAGCAGUGCAUUAUAGCCGGCUUUGAACCUUUUGGUGGGAAGAAGACUAGCUGGUGUUUAACAUGAAAAAGAUAUUCUCUGCAAGUUCCUUGUACAAAUGGGGGGAGCGGUUCACAGCUCACACCUGUUUGCCACAGCCAUAUCUUUUCCCACCACAGAAGCCCAGGGGUUACUUUUUUCUGCUGCAGUGGUGGCUCUGUAGCCUCACCAGGUUGCUUUGGACUUGCACUCCACUUCUUGUCCUAGCUCCCCACCAAUCUUGGGUCUCAACAAAACAAAAUGUUCUUAAGCUAUACAAGUGUGAAAGUGUUUCAAAAUGUUCAGCAACAGUGCUGCUGUGCCAUUCUGCCUUCUUCAAAGCAAACACAACUAAGACAAGAUUAAGCUCAAAUCCAAUUUUAAAAUGGCUCACAGCCCAGAGGUGUUACAGUGGGGCUCUGUACUGCACCCCACCAGCUGCAAGACAGCUGCUUUAGUUCACAGCAUUGAGGAACAGGCUCUCAAAAAUCUCUUUUUCCCCACUUCUGAUCCUCUUUCUCAUUUUCAGAUGUUUCUGAGGCAGCCUGUUAGGAUGGUCUCAUGAGCAUCAGCCCUUUAUGGAGUGCCAUCAGGAUAUCAGGAAACAGCUGUGUCUCCAGCAUGUCAUCUCUGACCCCAACCCAAUCCUUCUCUCUACAGUGUAGGCCUUGGGAGGUGCCUUUGCAGAUGGCUUUGCAACUGCGUGCAGUAGGAAAUGUUGUUUAUGUUGUAAUGUGACAAAGGUAGCCUUUUUACACUGUAUUUCCAGGCGUGGAAUUUCUUCUAUGAGAAAAGCACUAUCAACAAAUAUUGCAGAUGAUGGGGUCUUUAUGCCGAAGAGCCAUGUUGAUCAUGAGUUUGCCUGUGCUAUCUACACUUAAUUAAACACAAACAAGAGCACCUUACAGGCUGUAAAUUCUCUCCCCAGUAAAUGCUUAACUCAGAUUUCACUUUCUGAAAAAGUAGUGUAUCUUAAAGCAUACAAAACAAAAAAUGAUGAAGAAUUAUGACUAUCUUCAUACUAAUAGCUUUUGAGAGUAAGUAAUUUUCCAGGAAAGAUUAUCUGUAGAAAUAUAUAUGUUUUUUGCUUAAAGAUUAAAACUUAAAACUUUUUUUUUUUGCCUGUCUCAAAAAUGCUACCAAAAAGUAAGUUCAACUUGGACAAAAAACUCAUUUUUACAAAAGUAAUAUGGGCCUCCAGUUGUGUUGUGAAGAGCAAAAGUUCAGUUGAAAUUCAGUUUUGGGCUGAAGAGUAUAUUUCUAUUUUUGCUGUACUUUAAUAGCUUCCUAUUAAAUUAGAGUUACAUAAACUAAGUUUUGACAUAAUUCUGUUUUUUCUCCCUUUUUACAGUCAGUAUAAUAAAGAUGCAACACUUGAGGAUAGGAAGUAACAAACUACAAGCUGUCAAAACAUGUGGCCAAAUCUUCCUUUUCAGCUUAAAGUGCAUUGGUAAGAGUAAGGACAGCUGUGGGAGAUUGAUGGAGUUCCUGGCUCAAUGGCCCCAACAGGAGAACAAAAUAGAAAAUCUCUGUAAUCAACUCAGUUAUCUAUUCAAGCAUCCUUGUGACUUAACUCAUGGAUAAGCUUACUCUGCUCAUAGGCAUUCACUGAUUAAUCAUAGGUACAAAAAUGUUCUGGCUUACAAUGAACUGAUAUUCUCAGUCUUGUCAUGUGUACUCCACUUGCUACAGAUGGUGUGUUUAAUUUCUGCUAGGCACCCUCAGAAAAUAUGCAGCCAUAAAAUGGACAGCCACUGAAGCCACACUUCACUGGC
rnacentral:lncRNA from 1 species